AAUAAAGUUUCAUAUAUUAGUUAAUUUUAUGGAAAAUAGAUGUUUGAUGUAUAAAUAUUAAUAUUACAAUUUUAUAUAUACUUUCUGUUAUAAAUAAAAUCAAGCCAACAAUAGAUGUUUAUUAAUUUUUUGUCACAACUUUGUGUUACAAUAUUUCAAUAUCAAUAUGUUAUUUAUUAAAUGAAAUAGUUUAACGUGAAUGUAUAUUUAUCUGCUGCUAUAAACUCCCGAUGGCUGCGCAAUAAAUUUUUAUUCUUAAAUAAUACUAAAAGAAGUUAUGUAAUGUUCCAUUUAUAAAAUAAGAUUGUUUAUAUAGAUUAUUUGACCAGUAAUUGUUUACGUACAAGACACAUUGACUUGAUACAAAUAUCAUCGGUAUUAUCAUCGUGCAUAAAUUUUCAGAUUUUCUACUAUUAUUAUUAUAUAACUUUUAUUUACAUUCUGUAUUUAUAUUAGAACAAAUUUUAAACCAAACUUGAAAUAAUAUUAGUGCGAAGUAUGAUAAACAUAACCUAUAUUUCAUAUAUUGGUAUAUGUACAAUAACGCACAUACUAAUACAUUAGAUACAAGGAUAACCAACUGAAUGUAUUUUAAAGGAGACAAUAAGAACACAUAUAUAAUAUGGAUAUAAUAAAUUACAAUUUGAAUUGAA